UACGUAGGGGGCAAGCGUUGUUCGGAAUUACUGGGCGUAAAGGGCGCGUAGGCGGCAAUUCAAGUCAUCUGUGAAAUCUCCGGGCUUAACUCGGAACGGUCAGAUGAUACUGCUUUGCUAGAGUGCAGAAGGGGCAAUCGGAAUUCUUGGUGUAGCGGUGAAAUGCGUAGAUAUCAAGAGGAACACCUGAGGUGAAGACGGGUUGCUGGGCUGACACUGACGCUGAGGCGCGAAAGCGUGGGGAGCGAACAGG
rnacentral:rRNA from 1 species